rnacentral:tRNA from 1 species
GGGCCAUAGUUCAGGGGCAAGGCAACUGCUUCACAUGCAGAUGGUCCCAGGUUCAAUUCCUAGCAUCUCCA